ACGCCUUAUACAUGCAAGUCGAACGAAGUAGCAAUACUUAGUGGCAGACGGGUGAGUAACAUGUGGGUAUCUUCCCUUUGGUGAGGAAUAACACGAGGAAACUUGUGCUAAUACCUCAUAAGUCUUUACGGAGAAAGCUUUAUGCGCCAAUGGAUGAGCCCGCACUUGAUUAGUUUGUUGGUGGGGUAAUGGCCUACCAAGACUUUGAUCAAUAGCUGAUUUGAGAGGAUGAUCAGCCACAUUGGGACUGAGACACGGCCCAAACUCCUACGGGAGGCAGCAGUAAGGAAUCUUGCACAAUGGAGGAAACUCUGAUGCAGCGAUGCCGCGUGAGUGAAGAAGGCCUUUGGGUUGUAAAGCUCUUUCGUCGGGGAAGAAAAUGACUGUACCCGAAUAAGAAGGUCCGGCUAACUUCGUGCCAGCAGCCGCGGUAAUACGAAGGGACCUAGCGUAGUUCGGAAUUACUGGGCUUAAAGAGUUCGUAGGUGGUUAAAAAAGUUGGUGGUGAAAUCCCAGAGCUUAACUCUGGAACUGCCAUCAAAACUUUUUAGCUAGAGUAUGAUAGAGGAAAGCAGAAUUUCUAGUGUAGAGGUGAAAUUCGUAGAUAUUAGAAAGAAUACCAAUUGCGAAGGCAGCUUUCUGGAUCAUUACUGACGCUGAGGAACGAAAGCAUGGGUAGCGAAGAGGAUUAGAUACCCUCGUAGUCCAUGCCGUAAACGAUGUGUGUUAGACGUUGGAAAUUUAUUUUCAGUGUCGCAGCGAAAGCGAUAAACACACCGCCUGGGGAGUACGAC
rnacentral:rRNA from 1 species